UACAGAGGGGGCAAGCGUUGUUCGGAAUUACUGGGCGUAAAGGGCGCGUAGGCGGCCUGCUAAGUCGAACGUGAAAUCCCCGGGCUCAACCCGGGAACUGCGUCCGAUACUGACAGGCUCGAAUCCGGGAGAGGGAUGUGGAAUUCCAGGUGUAGCGGUGAAAUGCGUAGAUAUCAGGAGGAACACCGGUGGCGAAGGCGGGUCUCUGGGCCGAUACUGACGCUGAGGAGCGAAAGCGUGGGGAGCGAACAGG
rnacentral:rRNA from 1 species